GUAAGUAUAGUUUAAACAAAACAUCAGAUUGUGAUUCUGGAAACAGGGGUUAAAGUCCCCUUACUCACC
rnacentral:tRNA from 2 species